CUCGCUUCAUGCUCUGGACGCGUUCUGCGCACGCGCCGUCCGAAGCUAGAUUGUAACAGGAAGAAGCUGCAGAUCAAAAACCAAAGUCCUGUGUUUAUCUAGUUUGGACUGAAUGUAUUUCAGGGCACCUGUGAAAAAACUCUAGGCUUCUUCACUGUUUUUGUAGUGGUGCUCGCCGCUGUUUUCUAUUACCUGGAGAAUUCAGAGACUUACGAGAUACCAAGAAUGGAUCUGAAUGCAAUGGAAGAGAAUUACCGGCAGAAGAACAAAACAUGCUUCAUUCUCGGUGGCUCUGGUGAAACUGGAAAAGCUUUGCUAAAAGAACUAGUGGAGAGAAACAUCUUCUCCAGGAUCACUCUCAUUGGACGAAGGCAGUUAACCUUUGAGGACAAAGCCUAUGAAAAUCUGGUUAUGAAUCAAGUUUCAAAAUAUUAUGUCUAUGUGAUCCAAAUAAAAAGAAAACCUCCGCAAAAACGUUGCUUAUCCCUACAAAAAAAUAAAAACAAAUAAAUAAAAAUAAAAUAAUUAACAAAUUUGUCAAUAACAAAUGUUAACAUUUUAACCCAUACCUAAUAAAUACAGUAAAUCCAGAGGAUUGAUUGCUAGAUAAACAUUUUUUUUUUACGUUUUCAAUUUUGGAAACUUUUAUUUGUGAGAAAAAUCUGGGUUAUUUCCAGCCUGAUCUCAUGAGAAAACGUAAAUAUUUUAUGUUUGAUAGUUUAGUGGCUAAUUAGUACGAAUUCGUGAUGAAAUGAAAUUGUACAAUUUUUAAAAGGAGGUGUGGCACUCAACUCCGCCCCUAAACCCAAUCUUCAGUGGGGGAUGAGCAAAUCGUACUAAAUUGUAUGAAUUAGUUUGUGCAAAUUUAUUUGAAAUAGCCACUAAAAAUUACGAAUUGCUGUGAGAUUGCCUUGGUUUUUCCACUUAAUGUUGAUUUCUAAACUCUUUUCAAGUGAAAACAUUGGUAAUGUUUAAAUGGGUUUAUAAAUUAAUUUAUAAUGCAAUCUUUUUUGUAAUUUUUAUUCCAAAAAGUCUAUAUACAGGGUGUCUGCUGGGUCUUAAGUCUUAAAAUCUCUUAAAUUUCCAAAACUACAUUCUAGGCCUUAAAAAGUCUUAGAUUCACAGAAAUAUUGGGCUGUAGGUCUUAAAUAAUUUUAAAUGGGUCUUAAUUUUGCUUUUUCCAAAUAAAGUUACUCAAUCGGGCCGACAUCCAUCCAAUUACCAACAAUGCAUCACAAUAAAACCUUUUUUGUUUGUUUAUAUAAAUGAAAGUUUUUAUUAUCACAAAGAGAUUCACAACAACUGUUAGACAUCUCUACAGCAAAAUCUCCAAACUAAAUUCCCUAAUGAGGGAAAGAAAAACUAAAAACAAUUACCUGAUUCCUCAUAAUAAUACCAGGCCAUUAGAAAAAAAUAUUUAGUGUUUAAUGCUAUAAGUCUAAAAUUUCAUUCUUAAUGAUUUUAAAAGGUCUUAAAUUUAAGUUGAUGAAACCUGCAGAAUAGUUUAUAUAAAAACCUGUUUAUAAAAAAAACAAGGCAAUGAAAUGCUGUAUGCACAGUGCAAAAUGUUAUCAACGAUUUAGUGUUGAUUUAUCAGUGAUUCAUCAUUUGCCUUUAUUGUUCCCAGGUUCAAAAGGUGGUUGAUUUUGAGAAGCUGGAUGAGUAUGCAGAGGCGUUUCAGGGCCAUGAUGUUGGAUACUGCUGCCUAGGAACAACCAGAGCCAAAGCAGGAGCUGAAGGAUUUGUGCGUGUGGAUCAUGACUACGUACUCAAGUCUGCAGAGCUUGCCAAAGCAGGAGGUUGCUCACAUUUCCAUCUCGAAUCUUCCAAAGGUGCAGAUAAAACCAGCAGCUUUCUCUACCUGAAAACAAAGGGACAGGUUGAAGCAGAAAUUGAAGAGCUUGGGUUUGAGCGGUUAUCCGUCUAUCGACCUGCGGUGCUGUUAGUGGACAGACAGGAGAGCCGGCCUUCAGAGUGGAUGGCCAGAAAGUUCUUUGGUGCUUUCUCCACUGUCUUCCCCACGGCAAUGUCUAUUCCUAUUACAUCUGUGGUCAGAGCAAUGGCUGUCAACACACUAAAAGAUGGAGAGCAGAAAGUGGAAAUUCUCGAAAACAAAGCCAUACACACUCUCGGGAAAGUUGGAGAAAAGAAAUAAGACUUGUGAUUGUGGCUUGUUUAAAUAUAAGUGCAAUUCUAGCAUGAUGCAGUUUUUUGUUUUAAGCAAAGCAAGCCAAAUGUUGUUUUACUGACAUUUUGAGUUAUUAUCAUAUAAACUGUUUUUUUAAAAAGCUUUUAAAAAUACUCAUUUGCACUAUAAAUACGGGUGACGUGUGCUGUGUUUUAAUAUAAUUCGCUUUGUAUUCUUCUGCCUUUUUUGUUAUUUAAUUGUAAACUCGUUCAUAAAAAUAAACAAAUCUUAAUAUUGA